rnacentral:rRNA from 1 species
GAUGAACGCUGGCGGCGUGCCUAAUACAUGCAAGUCGAGCGAACAGACGAGGAGCUUGCUCCUCUGACGUUAGCGGCGGACGGGUGAGUAACACGUGGAUAACCUACCUAUAAGACUGGGAUAACUUCGGGAAACCGGAGCUAAUACCGGGUAAUAUAUUGAACCGCAUGGUUCAAUAGUGAAAGACGGUUUUGCUGUCACUUAUAGAUGGAUCCGCGCCGCAUUAGCUAGUUGGUAAGGUAACGGCUUACCGAGGCAACGAUGCGUAGCCGACCUGAGAGGGUGAUCGGCCACACUGGAACUGAGACACGGUCCAGACUCCUACGGGAGGCAGCAGUAGGGAAUCUUCCGCAAUGGGCGAAAGCCUGACGGAGCAACGCCGCGUGAGUGAUGAAGGUCUUCGGAUCGUAAAACUCUGUUAUUAGGGAAGAACAAAUGUGUAAGUAACUAUGCACGUCUUGACGGUACCUAAUCAGAAAGCCACGGCUAACUACGUG